UACGUAGGGGGCUAGCGUUGUCCGGAAUCAUUGGGCGUAAAGCGCGUGUAGGCGGUCCGGUAAGUCCGCUGUGAAAGUCGGGGGCUCAACCCUCGGAUGCCGGUGGAUACUGUCGGGCUUGAGUACGGAAGAGGCGAGUGGAAUUCCUGGUGUAGCGGUGGAAUGCGCAGAUAUCAGGAGGAACACCAAUAGCGAAGGCAGCUCGCUGGGACGUUACUGACACUAAGGCGCGAAAGCGUGGGGAGCGAACAGG
rnacentral:rRNA from 1 species